AGCCACAUCAUUUUGAAACACUAGUUCCCAUAUGAGCACUGAAGUUAAGCAACAUUGAACCUGGUCAGUACCUAGAUGGGUGACUGCUUAGGAAUACCAGGUGCUGUAA